CUUUCAUAGUUCAUGAACAAGAAGAAAAUUUCACUUGUUUAUGCAUAAAGUUAACCUAUCUUUCAUUACACAAUAUCCCUUACAAAUGAAAUUACUUCAAUCCAUUACCUGCUCAUAAUCAUGAACUUCCCAUUGUACGUAAAAGCAUUUGUGUGAACACCUGCGCAUUCGAUUGGAAGAUAAUGACUGAUUAAAGGGACAGUCUGAGCUCCAAAUCUGGUUCUUGAUUGUCACUUGAUUCAGAAUUUUGGCUGGUUGAGCCAAUCGAGUCACUCCUAUGUUUCUUGCUCUUCUUUGGCUGUGUGUCCUCAACUUGUAGAUUUAAAAGGUGUCUAGUUGAGCCUGCCUGUGAAAAAGUUUGAGCCUCCAAGAAACUAUUCCCGG
rnacentral:misc_RNA from 1 species